rnacentral:lncRNA from 1 species
ACAAAAAAUAAGGCAGCAACAUGAAAUGUGUUUCAGGUCACCCGGAAAAUCAUUAGGCGGUACGUAUCCUCUGAUGGCAUGGAGAAGGAGGAGAUUACAAUGCAGGGAACGCCACAGGAGCCAGUCAACAUUGAGGAUGGGGACAGUUAUUCCAAAGUGAUAAAGCGUGUGGUAUUGAAGAGUGACACCCAGCAAUCAGAGGUGACCUUGUCUGAACCCAGCAUUUUGUCCAGUACCUCACAGUUUCAGGCUGAACCAGUAGAAGGCCGUAGAGUCAGCAAAGUUGUUAAAACAACAGUGGUACAUGGAGAAAGGAUGGAGAAAAGCCUGGGGGACUCUAGCUUAGCCACUGACCUUCCUUCAGCCAAAGAUGACUUUGAAGAGGUACAGAGCAUUGUUUUAUUUUGUGUCUGUUUUCCUUUGAUGUGCGUUUUAUGGUUGCUUUGUGUUAGCAAAGAAAAGCAUUUGUCAUUUCAUACACAGAUUCAUGGAAGGUGUUUGUAUAACUGAAAAGACCAGAUUUCCGUCUUAAACAAUUUAUGUGGUGAAGUUGUAUUUCUGCAGCCCCCUGGUUUUCAUUCAUGUCACCCAGAGGGCUCUUAAAAAUGCAGGUUGCUGAGAUUCAUUCCUGCCAGGGCAGAAUCCAAGUUUCCAGAGUUGGGGCAUGAUUUCCUAUGUCUGUUAAAAUUACAAAGCCAAGUGUGGUGGCCUAGGUUUGUAAUACUGGCACUGCGGUGGCUAAAGCAUGAUGCCACAAGAUCAAAGCUAGCUUAUGCUACAGAGUGAGCUCAGGCUAGCCUGGACUUCUUUAUGGCAGCCUGCCUAAAAAAAUAGAUAAGUUAUAUCUUAAAUGCUUAAAGUUAAAUGCUAUAAUCAGUGCCCUUAUGUACUUACUCACAUUAGGCCUGGGGAUCCAGCUGUAUUUUAGGAUGCCUAUGUGACCCCCCACAAAGCACUGGGUUUGAUCACCAGAUACUAGAACAACAAUAUCACAACAACAAUAAUAGUAUCAACAAUUAUAUCUAAGUAGUCUAUUAACAUAUUUUUGUAUUAAAAGCAAACUUUCUUUAAAUACUUUUAAUUCUGCACAUUUGACCUCUUGGGUGUUCAAAAAGUGAAUUGUCUAAGUUGUACAUUGGACCCUGUAUCUGGUUUUGUCUUUGAUAAAUGAUCUCAUUUAUUAUUCAAAUCUCCACAAUCAGAAGGAG